AGAGUUCCCCAGUGACCCAUUAACAACAGAUUUUUAUGGAAAAGAAGCAUGGUUAAACUGGUGAAAAUAACUAUGCACAAGUCAUAAUAGCACUCAGUUUUCAGAAGAGCUUGGCAGACUUGGCCUAGCAGGUGACCUGCACUCUGCACACCUGGCUAGCCAUAAGGAAUUGCCUGUUUCUAUCUGGGCUUCUGAGGAGAGCUGUUCUAAUGCAACAGAAACCAGGCCGGAGUGAGAAACACAGAGCAGACAGUCUAUUCUCAUGGUUUCAGAUCAGCCCCUCCAAAACGGAGCACCUAGAGACCCCAGCCAGGAUCAGGGCUACAUUAUGCUGGGCCCUGCACACUCUCAGGAGGACAUCACCUUUCCCUGAAGAGCUUACAGUUUAAUAGAAGACAAUUCUGCUGAAGAUUUGCCAUCAAGGCACCAUAUUGUUUCUGUAGUGCAUUUACAACACAACAGCUCCAAGCAAAAUGAAGGGAAGGAAGCAACUAUAUGUAUCACAGCUAGACACUGCUUCAAAGGAACAGGCCAUUUCCAUAGUUGAAGCCCUAUGACCUGAAGGAGGUGAGAGCAGCCAGGGCUUGCUUCAGUUGCCAUAGGCCAUUUGUUUUCCCUUUGAAGAAGAAGAGGUGUAAAAUAAAAUCAAGGUUGUACCUUAUAUACCUGCCAUGUUGCUGCCUGGUGAAACACAAGGCAAAUACACACAGUCAUUUGUAUUCAAACUGCGCAGGGGGGGGACAUUCUGCCAUUAAAUGGUUCUCAGCUCUCCUCCUGCAAUUGGAAGAGCCUGUAAUUGCUACCCAAUUGGUUGGUAUUUAGCAUGCAAUAUCAUGUAUUAGUGAGCACUAAGUACUGUUUCAUGUUGGAUGCUGAGAACCAUAAGAGAUAGCUAGAGUUUAAAAUGGAAGUCUGCUCUGAUUAUGUCAAUGAUUAGAUUAGCUUCCUCAUGUUUUGCUGGGAUGUGUUCAUUAGCAUUCCUACUGGACUUUCCAUCUGUCCAAACUCCUUGCAAAGGUUAACAAAUUAAUCCUCACAGCACCCUGGAAAGGAGCAAUAUAACUUGUCUCAUUUUAUGAUGAGGAAAACUGAAGGAGAGAGGUUUUGUGAUUUGUCCAAGGUCACAGACUACAUCAUAGUGCCCUGAUUAGGGACCAAGAGUUCCUGGUGCCUGGUCACAUGCUGAGGCCACCAGCCCACACCUUUCUCUCUUUGCUUGGAGUCCUAAGAUUAUAACCCAUUUGAUUUUAACCACUAAGCCAGCACCACAGAUCCCCACACAUCAUGAAACCCUCUGAUUUUGACAUGUGUUGUGCAGUGGCUGGAGCAGGAGCCAGGAGACCCAGGUUCUGUUCUGACUCUGCUGCUGGUUCACUGUCAGAUCUUAGCCAAAUCAUCUAAAAUAUCUGUAUCUCUACCCUUCAGCCUUACAUAUAAUGGUACCAGCAGUAACCUGCAUUUGGAGGAAGCUAUGUUAGCCUCAGGUGCAAACUGGUAAUUAUCACUAUUAUUACAGGGCAUCAAGGUGCCUGCCUGGAUUGUGAACAUUAUUGGGUCAGCUGGUCAAAAUCAGCAUAUUUCCAUUGUUCCCAGUGAAGCCAUGGUGAUGACAUCCACUGGGAAUUUGGUCAGCAGUUAUAUUAACCUCAGACGGAAUUUACCAUCAAGACAUUUCCAAUGAGGGGUGUCCUCUUUUAGGCCCUGUUCCUCCAGUUGCAUCCAUGUGGGUAGACCCUUGGCUCACAUUUGGAGCCUUAGGCAAAUAAACAUACCUAAGUCCAGUAUAAUAUGAAAACAUAUAAAGGGAAGGAUUUAUCAGUGUAGCAGUGUGUGCAGCUAGGGCUACUGGUGCUGAAAUAAGUCUCAUUGCAUUAGGAACCCAGAGCUAGUGCCAAGUGUAGUAGUGACACAAUAAUGUGGUGCUUGGAGACCUGAAUGCACCAUGUGCAUUAAGAAAGUAAGAUCAGAGAUUUAUUUGCCAAUCUAGACAGAGUGCUGAGUUAUUCCAUUCAUUUCCUGGUUUUCUCCUACAAAUCUGUCAUGUUCAUAAUUAUUGCUUGUUUUUAGCUAUUGACAGAAUAUAAAAAUGAAGGAAAGCAUGAUAUCAUAGACAGUCACAUAGUCCAUUAGUGCAGUGUGGGGGACAGAUUUCUGAUAUAUUCAGCUCUGACCACUGGCUUUAUUUCAAAGAAUAGAAAUGCGUGGUAGAGUUAGGAAUACCCUAGGAUUUACAUGGAGAAGCUGUGCUAGGUAGAAGUGUCAUUAGAUUCUGCAAAGGGUGGCAAAGUUGAAUAUUCAGGGAGGGCUUAUUCACUCAUUGCCUUCAGUAGUAGUUUUAUCUGAAUAACAAGGGCAGAAUCAGGUCCCUAAUUAUAUCAUCAUCUUGCCAUGCAAGAAUUUCACACUAUUAUUCCAUAAAGUCCUGCUCAUGCUUUCAGCUGGAAUCAGUGGAAGUUUGCUAUUGACUUCAGUAAGUGCAUGAUCCCCAAAACUGAGUCCUAUAUAUGGGCCUGCUCCAAACCCCUUACUGAAGCCAAUGGAAAGACUCCUAUUGAUUUCAGUAAGCUUUUGAUCAGGCCCUGGUGAGUGGCAGGUGUUUCCAUAAGUAUGCAAGAAAUGUUUAUCCUUCUGAGCACUCUGACAACAGAACUUGAAUUAAUUUGCAGAUCAAGAUACUUGGCUGCUGCCAAAUGUCUGAACUUGUUUCUUGAAGGAUUUUACUUCCUGUGACACA